rnacentral:rRNA from 1 species
UACGAAGGGAGCUAGCGUUGUUCGGAAUCACUGGGCGUAAAGCGCACGUAGGCGGAUGUGUCAGUCAGGGGUGAAAUCCCGGAGCUCAACUUCGGAACUGCCUUUGAUACAGCACAUCUGGAGUCCGGAAGAGGUGGGUGGAAUUCCUAGUGUAGAGGUGAAAUUCGUAGAUAUUAGGAAGAACACCGGUGGCGGAAGGCGGCCCACUGGUCCGGUACUGACGCUGAGGUGCGAAAGCGUGGGGAGCAAACAGG